rnacentral:rRNA from 1 species
AUUGAACGCUGGCGGCAGGCCUAACACAUGCAAGUCGAACGAGUGGCGGACGGGUGAGUAAUGUCUGGGAAACUGCCCGAUGGAGGGGGAUAACUACUGGAAACGGUAGCUAAUACCGCAUACCAUCGGAUGUGCCCAGAUGGGAUUAGCUUGUUGGUGGGGUAACGGCUCACCAAGGCGACUAUCCUUAGCUGUUCUGAGAGGAUGACCAGCCACACUGGAACUGAGGCACGGUCCAGACUCCUACGGGAGGCAGCAGGGGGGAAUAUUGCACAAUGGGCGCAAGCCUGAUGCAGCCAUGCGGCGUGUAUGAAGAAGGCCUUCGGGUUGUAAAGUACUUUCAGCGGGGAGGCGUUACCCGCAGAAGAAGCACCGGCUAACUACGUGCCAGCAGCCGCGGUAAUAC